rnacentral:rRNA from 1 species
AGAGUUUGAUCAUGGCUCAGGAUGAACGCUAGCGGCAGGCUUAACACAUGCAAGUCGAGGGGCAGCACAGGUAGCAAUACUGGGUGGCGACCGGCGCACGGGUGCGUAACGCGUAUACAAUCUACCUUUUGCUGAGGGAUAGCCCAGAGAAAUUUGGAUUAACCCCUCAUAGUAUUAUUGAGUGGCAUCAUUUAAUAAUUAAAGGUUACGGCAAAAGAUGAGUAUGCGUCCUAUUAGCUAGUUGGUACGGUAACGGCGUACCAAGGCUACGAUAGGUAGGGGUCCUGAGAGGGAGAUCCCCCACACUGGUACUGAGACACGGACCAGACUCCUACGGGAGGCAGCAG